ACCAUAGAAUAAGAAAUGAAUAGAAGGGCAACUCACGUGUACAACGCGUCCUAGUUUUUUUGUGCGCAUGCGUCAGGUCCGCCAUUACUCUGGCCAGUAAACUGGCUGCUGGCGUACUAUAGAUUAUAUGGAGAAGAGUAGUGUUUGGGCUAUAAAUUUGCCUUUUUCGUUCAAGUUUUUCAAUGAGCGUGAAAGUUUUUGACAGAAGAUGAAAGAAAUAAGGUGAGGCAUUGCAAUUUAUUAGGUACAAGCAAUCUAAAGACGUUCUAUUAGCAAAUACUGACCGUUUUACUUGCUUGUUAAAAGUUGUAUAUUUGUAUAUUGAAUAAAAAUGUUUGGUAUAUUCUUGGGUAAGUUGGCACGGUACUUUUAUUUUAUCAGAUACUUAUGUUAGUUCAAAUCUUCAUAACAAUGUGCUUACAGUAAAAGCAUUGUUUCAUCCCAAUUUUCCGUAUUUAGCACAGUUGAGUAUUGUAUAGUGUCUGUUUCCAUGUCGCAUAUAUUUUCACGUUAUUUUACAUGAUCUGGAUGUAUUUUCAUGUAUAUUUAUACAAAUACACAACUAUUAUAAACACACAACUAAAAGAUUCCUUUUGUGUUUCUUUCACAAAUAACAAGUGUUGCCUUCUGUAAAAUAAGUGGUUUUUUGAAGUUUGAAAUUUUGUAUAAAACAAACUGAUAGACUAGUAUAGUAUACAAAUGUGCUGCAGGUGAAUCAGAAACAUUCCUAACUAUGCCCAUAUCAUAGAAGCAUUUCAUUUAUUGUUUUUUAUUCAACCAGGUAUUAAACAGCAUCACAAAAGUCAUAAAUUGUUGUUCUUUUAUGUUAUAAUUAUCAAGGCUAUAAUUAAAAUAUAGAGACUGAGUCACCAUACUUUUUGUUGUUAUGUACUCUGGUGAAUAUGAUGUUUGUGGUGUUACUCUGUAUAUGCAUCCACACUGGGCAAACUGAAAAAUUUGCCUGACCACGGUCAGGCAUGGUGGGAAUCUAACCCACGACCUUUGGGUUAUCACUCCAAUGCUCUACCAACUGAGCUAUGAGGUCACUUAAGUAUAUAACACUAACACACACAAAAAGUAUCAUGUCUUAGAAUACACUGAUAUCGAAGGAACCACACUCAGUUCCAAAAUAUCACCAACUCGAACUGACUUAACCUAGUAGUUCAGUUGGUUGAGCACUGGACUGGUAUCCCAUUAAGGUCACAGGUUCGAUUCCCACCAUAGUCAGGCAAACUUUUUAGUUUGUCCCGGUGUGGAUGCACACACAGAGUAACACCACAAACAUCAAGUUAUGACCAUGUUUACACUUCAUCUGGUCAUGCCUGACAAUCACUGACACAGGCAACACAUCAAUUUGCCUGAGUGUAUGGAAUGUACAAUUCCUCUGCACCGGACGGCAGUGAGUCUAGGCUCUAGGAAUUGUGUAUCGUUUUUGUGCCAAAAGAUUAGACAGCAAUAUAAGCUGUUGUGUACGCGAAUCACUGAUUUGUGCACAAAACUGGACAGCCUUUUCUUUCCAUGCUGGGCAAUUUAGGCCUCUAGCAUGACUAGGUCAAGCUGGCAAUGUGGCCCUUCUAUAACACAGUAUUAUCCAUGUCAUAAUUUUUGUUUCAUUUAGUUUAAUUUCUGCCUUCUGGAAGUACUCAAGCCUUGGCAACAAGUACUCAAGUUUUACUCUCUUGAAGAGCAAUUU
rnacentral:lncRNA from 1 species